rnacentral:rRNA from 1 species
CCUACGGGGGGCAGCAGUGGGGAAUAUUGCGCAAUGGGCGAAAGCCUGACGCAGCGACGCCGCGUGAGGGAUGAAGGUCUUCGGAUCGUAAACCUCUGUCAGCAGGGAAGAACGGUCACUGUGCUAAUCAGCAGUGAAUUGACGGUACCUGCAAAGGAAGCACCGGCUAACUCCGUGCCAGCAGCCGCGGUAAUACGGAGGGUGCGAGCGUUAAUCGGAAUUACUGGGCGUAAAGCGAUCGUAGGCGGUAUGUCAAGUCAAGGGUGAAAUCCCCGCGCUCAACGUGGGAACUGCCUUUGAAACUGGCAAACUGGAGUGUGUGAGAGGAGAGUGGAAUUCCAGGUGUAGGAGUGAAAUGCGUAGAUAUCUGGAGGAACAUCAGUGGCGAAGGCGACUAUCUGGCACAUAACUGACGCUGAGGAGCGAAAGCGUGGGUAGCAAACAGGAUUAGAUACCCCUGUAGUC